UGGGGAAUUUUGGACAAUGGGCGCAAGCCUGAUCCAGCCAUGCCGCGUGUGGGAAGAAGGCCUUCGGGUUGUAAACCACUUUUGUCAGGGAAGAAACGGCUCUUACUAAUAUUAGGAGCUAAUGACGGUACCUGAAGAAUAAGCACCGGCUAACUACGUGCCAGCAGCCGCGGUAAUACGUAGGGUGCAAGCGUUAAUCGGAAUUACUGGGCGUAAAGCGUGCGCAGGCGGCUUUGCAAGACAGAUGUGAAAUCCCCGGGCUCAACCUGGGAACUGCAUUUGUGACUGCAAGGCUAGAGUACGGUAGAGGGGGAUGGAAUUCCGCGUGUAGCAGUGAAAUGCGUAGAUAUGCGGAGGAACACCGAUGGCGAAGGCAAUCCCCUGGACCUGUACUGACGCUCAUGCACGAAAGCGUGGGGAGCAAACAGGAUUAGAUACCCAUGUAGUCCCUGAGCGGGCUGGCAAGGCGCAU
rnacentral:rRNA from 1 species